UGUAGCUCAGUGGUAGAGAGCUUGCCUAGCAUGUAUGAGGUCCUGGGUUCAAGGCCCAGCA
rnacentral:tRNA from 1 species